CACGUAGGGGGCAAGCGUUGUCCGGAAUCAUUGGGCGUAAAGAGCUCGUAGGCGGUCUGUCGCGUCUGGUGUGAAAAUCCAGGGCUUAACCCUGGACCUGCAUUGGGUACGGGCAGACUAGAGUGCGGUAGGGGAGAUCGGAAUUCCUGGUGUAGCGGUGAAAUGCGCAGAUAUCAGGAGGAACACCGGUGGCGAAGGCGGAUCUCUGGGCCGUAACUGACGCUGAGGAGCGAAAGCAUGGGGAGCGAACAGG
rnacentral:rRNA from 1 species